GUAAUAGCUCACUGGUCGAGUCGGCCUGCGCGGAAGAUGUAACGGGGCUAAACCAUGCACCGAAGCUGCGGCAGCGAACGUAUCACUUAAAGCGAUUCAGCGGAUGACGAUUGACGGAGCGAAGCGACGUCAAAGCGUAUACAAAGUCGAGUCGGUUUAAGGAUACGUUCGUUGGGUAGGGGAGCGUUCUGUAAGCCUGUGAAGGUGGCCUGUGAGGGUUGCUGGAGGUAUCAGAAGUGCGAAUGCUGACAUAAGUAACGAUAAAGCGGGUGAAAAG
rnacentral:rRNA from 1 species